rnacentral:rRNA from 1 species
AGCAGCCGCGGUAAUUCCAGCUCCAAUAGCGUAUAUUAAAGUUGUUGCAGUUAAAAAGCUCGUAGUUGAAUUUCGGGAUCAGUACGCUGGUCGUGCCUUGGUAUGUACUGGUGUUACUGGUUCCUACCUUCUGACGAACCGUCAUGUCAUUAAUUUGGUGUGGCGGGAAAUCAGGACUGUUACUUUGAAAAAAUUAGAGUGUUUAAAGCAGGCUCGCGCUUGAAUACAUUAGCAUGGAA